AACCGUUAUCCAUUGGGGGAUAACGAAGGCCCGUUAGGGGGCGGAUGG
rnacentral:ncRNA from 1 species